rnacentral:rRNA from 1 species
AUUGAACGCUGGCGGCAGGCUUAACACAUGCAAGUCGAGCGAGCGGCGGACGGGUGAGUAAUGUCUGGGAAACUGCCUGAUGGAGUGGGAUAACUACUGGAAACGGUAGCUAAUACCGCAUACCAUCAGAUUUGCACACAUGGGCUUAGCUAGUCGGUGGGGUAAUGGCUCACCUAGGAGACGAUCCCUAGCUGGUCUGAGAGGAUGACCAGCCACACUGGAACGGAGACACGGUCCAGACGCCUACGGGAGGCAGAAGUGGGGAAUAUUGCACAAUGGGCGCAAGCCUGAUGCAGCCAUGCCGCGUGUGUGAAGAAGGCCUUCGGGUUGUAAAGCACUUGCAGAGAGGAGGCGUUACUGGCAGAAGAAGCACCGGCUAACUCCGUGCCAGCCGCCGCGGUAAUAC